GACGUAGGUGGCGAGCGUUAUCCGGAUUUACUGGGCGUAAAGGGUGUGCAGGCGGGUCAUUAAGUGGUGUAUGAAAUCGCCCGGCUCAACCGGGCUAGGUUAUGCCAGACUGAUGGUCUAGAGAGCGAGAGAGGGACGUGGAAUUCCGGGUGUAGUGGUGAAAUGCGUAGAGAUCCGGAGGAACCCCAGAGGCGAAGGCGGCGUCCUGGCUCGCAUCUGACGCUCAGACACGACAGCAUGGGGAGCGAACGGG
rnacentral:rRNA from 1 species